rnacentral:rRNA from 1 species
AGUGAACGCUGGCGGCGUGCCUAAUACAUGCAAGUCGAACGGAAUUUAAAAGAGCUUGCUCUUUUAAAUUUAGUGGCGCACGGGUGAGUAAUAUAUAGCUAAUCUGCCCCUUGCUGGAGGACAACAGUUAGAAAUGACUGCUAAUACUCCAUACUCCUUUUUACCAUAAGAUAAAUCGGGAAAGAAUUUCGGCAAGGGAUGAGACUAUAUCGUAUCAGCUAGUCGGUGGGGUAACGGCCUACCGAGGCUAUGACGCGUAACUGGUCUGAGAGGAUGAUCAGUCACAUUGGAACUGAGACACGGUCCAAACUCCUACGGGAGGCAGCAGUAGGGAAUAUUGCGCAAUGGGGGAAACCCUGACGCAGCAACGCCGCGUGGAGGAUGACACUUUUCGGAGCGUAAACUCCUUUUGUUAGGGAAGAAUAAUGACGGUACCUAACGAAUAAGCACCGGU